UUACAGCCAUAUCACAUUGAAAUACUGGUUCUCAUAUGAUCACAGAAGUUAAGCAAUGUCAAACCUGGUCAGUAUCAAGAUGGGUGACAGCUUAUGAAUACCAGAUGCUGUAAG